rnacentral:lncRNA from 1 species
AAGGCUCGGGAUGCUUAUCAAUUCCAGUGCUCUCAAUCUGGAAAGUUGAAGAUCUCAAGGUAACAUCAGAGUCAGAGCUGCUCCUUGGAUAUUUCUUUCGCAAUUCCAUUGGUUCCCAUACCUUCUUAAUAACAGAUGAAUCUCUGCUAGACAGAUUAUUACGUAUAGCCAUUUUGCUUUUGGGUCUUGCACAAUUUUCACGCNNNN